CGACUACUACUGCUGAGGAUGUUAAGUGCCUAAAUGCCUCCUUUGAGUUAAACAGGGUGAUGAAGAUAGCUCUUAUUAAUGAAAAGGCCUUGGGGAGGGGCAGAGAAAACGCUUGCCGUGUUUAUUAUCCAUGCCAGAAAAACAAAAUGAUGUCAGAAUUUUUAAAUAUCAUCGGAACUGGUUUGCCAAUGGUGCACUUGGAAGAGGACUUUGGGGCAGAUGUCCAGGUUCUCAGGCAACAGAAUGAGCAAGAGGACCCCCAAACACAACUGAGCUGCUUUGCUACAUUUUGAAAUAAAUGAAAUGCACGUAACCAUUCAAAGAGCCACCGCAAAGAGCCCCCACCCCUCUGCAAUAAGGCCAGAGACUAAAAUUAGCAGGAUGCACCUCUGUGAUGGGCUGGUGUUUCAGGGCUCUUAUGUGACUGGAAUGCUAGUUAUUUUAAUUUUACUUCUUGGGCUUGAUAUAAAAUGAAGCCAAACUUUGACACAAAUUGAUUUCACUGAAAACGAAAUGAGGAUUUUCGGGAUUUGGCUUAGUAAAGCCUUAAAAUUUCUAUCCAAUUUCAAAUUUAACUGUGCACCUUCUUUGCUUUCAUUUGUGUGAGCUUCUUCAUAUACGCUUCCAUAUUCCAACCCAACAACAAGAAUCUAACACAAGCAGCAGUCUUGAGGCUUCUUAAAGGCUAACAGAUUUAUUGUGGCAGAGGUUUUGUGAACUCGAGCUGACUUCAUCAGAGCCCUAAUGCACAAAGGCAAAUUCCACAAUAAAUCAUUUAGUCUUUAAGGUGCCACAAGACUCUAUUUUGUGUGUUUGCUGCAACAGAAUAACCUGGCUGUUUGGAAUAAAAAUCAACAUUCUUCUUGCCGUUGAAUAUUUUGUCAAAGUUUCAUCUUGUUUAUCAGUUUACCUGAAUCAAAUUUAGGGAAUGGGCCAUACCUGUGGUAGAACGUCUGCUUUGCAUGCAGGAGGUCACAGAUUCAAUCUCCCACCCUCUGCAUCUCUAGGUAGGGCUGGGAGUGAACCUGUUUGAAAUUCUGGAGAGCUGCUGCCAGUCUGUGUAGACACUACUGAGUGAGAAGGUGGUUUGUACUUUUUUUAAAAAAGAAAUCAUGUAAUAAAAUGUGCCUCAUACGUAUAAAACACUAUCCUUGUAAUAACUUACUCUGAUGGAUGUUGCUAUUCUAGUUACAUGCAGUUCCCACUUACAAUGAAAGCUGUAUACUUUGCCCUAAAAUUAUAUACUUCUGGUGCACUGUCAGUAAACAUUGCAGACCUAAUCAAGAAUAUAUUGACUCAUGAAUGGUGGGGAAAAUACAAACAAGUGUCUACAGGAUGGAAAGAGCAAACCAAAACAAAAAUCCCACCACCCCAAAGCCACAGUAAAACCACAUAGGUUUAUUGUCAAAACAUUGCCUGUAUGCAGAUUUAGCCAAGAACAUGAUUAAGAACAAUUUUUUUUUUGCUUUAAUGUUUGUUUAAAUAAUCUGGAACAUCAUAAUCCUGGAGGGACGUUACUUAGGAACAUAUGAAGCUACCUUGUACCAUGAUGUGCCAUUGGUCUUCCUCUGAUUGUUGUUGACCUUGUGUAUACUUGUUAAGGAUUAGCUGUGAUGCUCAUUUUCUCAAUAAAUUCAGAUGUAUGUA